CAUGUGGUUUAAUUCGAAGCAACGCGCAGAACCUUACCAGCGUUUGACAUGUCCGGACGAUUUCCAGAGAUGGAUCUCUUCCCUUCGGGGACUGGAACACAGGUGCUGCAUGGCUGUCGUCAGCUCGUGUCGUGAGAUGUUGGGUUAAGUCCCGCAACGAGCGCAACCCUCGCCUUUAGUUACCAUCAUUCAGUUGGGUACUCUAAAGGAACCGCCGGUGAUAAGCCGGAGGAAGGUGGGGAUGACGUCAAGUCCUCAUGGCCCUUACGCGCUGGGCUACACACGUGCUACAAUGGCAGGUACAGUGGGCAGCGAUCCCGCGAGGGUGAGCUAAUCUCCAAAACCUGUCUCAGUUCGGAUUGCACUCUGCAACUCGAGUGCAUGAAGGCGGAAUCGCUAGUAAUCGCGGAUCAGCAUGCCGCGGUGAAUACGUUCCCAGGCCUUGUACACACCGCCCGUCACACCAUGGGAGUUGGAUUCACCCGAAGGCGUUGCGCUAACUCAGCAAUGAGAGGCAGGCGACCACGGUGGGUUUAGCGACUGGGGUGAAGUCGUAACAAGGUAGCCGUAGGGGAACCUGCGGCUGGAUCACCUCCUU
rnacentral:rRNA from 1 species